GACGAACGCUGGCGGCGUGCCUAAUACAUGCAAGUCGAGCGGAUCUUCAUUAGCUUGCUUUUGAAGAUCAGCGGCGGACGGGUGAGUAACACGUGGGCAACCUGCCUGUAAGACUGGGAUAACUUCGGGAAACCGGAGCUAAUACCGGAUAAUCCUUUUCCUCUCAUGAGGAAAAGCUGAAAGACGGUUUCGGCUGUCACUUACAGAUGGGCCCGCGGCGCAUUAGCUAGUUGGUGAGGUAACGGCUCACCAAGGCGACGAUGCGUAGCCGACCUGAGAGGGUGAUCGGCCACACUGGGACUGAGACACGGCCCAGACUCCUACGGGAGGCAGCAGUAGGGAAUCUUCCGCAAUGGACGAAAGUCUGACGGAGCAACGCCGCGUGAGCGAUGAAGGCCUUCGGGUCGUAAAGCUCUGUUGUCAGGGAAGAACAAGUACCGGAGUAACUGCCGGUACCUUGACGGUACCUGACCAGAAAGCCACGGCUAACUACGUGCCAGCCGCCGCGGUAAUAC
rnacentral:rRNA from 1 species